rnacentral:lncRNA from 1 species
GCUGACUGAGCAGUCUGUCAGUAGAACUCAUGGCCUCACAGCAGUGGGAAGCCUCACAGAAAUCACGCAACGUCUAUGGAUUCUCUCGCACGUCACUUCUCACAUCCCAUUGGCCAAAGAAAGUUUUGUGGUCCAAUAAUCUGUCCAGUGAUGAGCUUGGUAGAGAUGACAAGUUGAAUUUCUGAACAAAGAAUGUAACCUAUCUUACACAUACUUUAGCCUACAUUUUUUGGGUUUUCUGUUUAUUUUUGUUUUGUUUUGUUUUGUUUUGCUCGUACUGGGGAUUGAACUCUGGUCCUUGAGCUUGUGAGGCAGGUGGCAGAGCCACUGAGCUAAAUCCCCAGCCCCAUUUAGCCUACAUUUUAAACAGCGAGUUUGAGAUAAAAGUGCUACUUUCAGGGGAUGGAAAUUUCAUAAAAGUGUGGAAUUAUAGAAGUACCUAUUAAAGGCAGAAAAAUGGUGAAGAAUCUUGUAAAAGAAUGUAUAGGAAGACAAAACUGGAAAGAACAGAUAAAAAAGGCGUUGAAUGCCAUAUUGUAAAAAGAUUGGAUUUAUCUCUAAAUUUCAUGGAAGUAACUAAGCAACCUGAAGUACAGUAUCAUGUUGUAUUAGGGUUCACUGGAGACACAAGAGAUACUGCAAAUUAA